rnacentral:rRNA from 1 species
CCUACGGGAGGCUGCAGUAGGGAAUAUUGCUCAAUGGGGGAAACCCUGAAGCAGCAACGCCGCGUGGAGGAUGAAGGUUUUCGGAUUGUAAACUCCUUUUGUUAGAGAAGAAAAUGACGGUAUCUAACGAAUAAGCACCGGCUAACUCCGUGCCAGCAGCCGCGGUAAUACGGAGGGUGCAAGCGUUACUCGGAAUCACUGGGCGUAAAGAGCGCGUAGGCGGGACAGCAAGUCCGAUGGUAAAUCCUAGGGCUUAACCAUAGAACUGCAUUUGAAACUGUGAUUCUAGAGUAUGGGAGAGGUAGGUGGAAUUCGUGGUGUAGCGGUAAAAUCCGUAGAGAUCAAGCGGAAUACUCAUUGCAAAGGCGACCUACUAGAACAUAACUGACGCUGAUGCGCGAAAGCGUGGGGAGCAAACAGGAUUAGAUACCCCUGUAGUC